rnacentral:lncRNA from 1 species
GCCUGGGAUGGCAUUUUGCCACCCUCGUUCAGCUGCUAGACACUGGAGGGGAUGUUUCUGAGACACCCUGUCCUGACUCUCUGUGUGGCUGUUGAGAGAUGAGGCCUGGGGGAACUGCAGAGGGCGGACAGAGUGUGUUUUCUUCCGGUCUUGGCAUCUUGGAGUCAUUCCUGUCCCGCUGCGUCACCCCACACAAGCCUGAGUGACCUUCGAGAAAGUAACCUCGAUCCUUUGCCCUGAGAGCCUUGGCUGGGGCAUCUGGAGGCACCCCCACCUCCCAUGGCUGGGCAUCAUGAGAGGAGAAAAACCUGCCGGAUGGGGCACUAACUGGCCCCAGGGAGCACAGGGCACUUCCAGCUUUCCUUCAGCAUUCUGCCCUCUGCAUCUUCUUUCAGGGGGCUCCUGGAAUGUUGGCAAGCACAAAAAGGCACGGCUUCAAGCCCAUCAUUCCCUGGCUGAAAGACCUCGGGCCAGUGCCUUCCACUCUCUGAGCCUCA